rnacentral:sRNA from 1 species
GCCGGAAGGCGUGUAUCCUUGGUCACAGCUUGAAAGUAUGCACGUAUUUAUGAAUCCCUGUUCGAUGCCCUACCAGUUAGCGUUCGUCCUGACCUUCAUAAGUAACCGUAAGACUUCCAGCACAAUCGGCCCCCAGCGGGCUUCCAUUACUUUCUGAAUGAUCAGGAGACUAUUAUGUCCACUACCACCGGUACCGUUAAGUGGUUCAACGAAGCUAAAGGUUUUGGUUUUAUCGAGCAGGAAAACGGCCCUGACGUGUUCGCACACUUCAGCGCUAUCCAGGGCUCAGGCUUCAAAACCCUGGCCGAAGGCCAGCGCGUUGAGUUCACUGUAACUCAGGGCCAGAAAGGUCCUCAGGCAGAGAACAUCGUCGCCGUAUAAAGCGAUGUUGAAAGCCGCCCGCGCCUAACCGCGCCGGGCAGGAAAAGCGGGGCCUUCGGGCCCCGCUUUUUUU